rnacentral:ncRNA from 2 species
UGGAUCCUUCGGGGCAGGGUGAAAUUCCCGACCGACGGUGAUGGUAGUCUGCACUACCUCAGCCCGUGACCCGCUUAUAGCGGUUGACUCGGUGAAACUCCGGGGCCGACAGUAUAGUCUGGAUGGGAGAAGGAUGAU